CAGAGUUCAUGCCCUUCGGGGUAGAUCUCCCACCCUUGUGUAUCAUUAUAGAAUGUUGCUUUGGCGGGCCGCGCCUCGUGCGCCUAGAUUCGCGUCUAGUGUGCCCGCCAGAGGACCCCUAAACUCUGAAUGUUAGUGUCGUCUGAGUACUAUUAAAUAGUUAAAACUUUCAACAACGGAUCUCUUGGUUCUGGCAUCGAUGAAGAACGCAGCGAAAUGCGAUAAGUAAUGUGAAUUGCAGAAUUCAGUGAAUCAUCGAAUCUUUGAACGCACAUUGCGCCCCCUGGUAUUCCGGGGGGCAUGCCUGUUCGAGCGUCAUUUAUACCAAUCUAGCCUGGCUAGGUGUUGGGCUUCGCCGUCUGGCGGGCCUUAAAACUAGUGGCGGUGCUCUGAAGCUCUACGCGUAGUAAUUUUCUCGCUAUAGGGUCUUGGGAGAUGCUUGCCAGCAACCCCAAAUUUUUUAG
rnacentral:misc_RNA from 1 species